AUGGGUCGCAAGAAGAUUGCCCUCGAGUACAUCGACAACGAAUCGAGCUGGCGCCGUACCUUGGAGACGUGUGGUAAGAACCUGGCAAGUAAGGCAAGCAAGGUUUCUAUCAUGUGCAACUCCAAGGCCUGCAUGUUGGUAUACGGCGAGGGCAAUGCGGCGCCAAAUGUGUACCCGUCCCAUGCCGAGGCAGUGGAUAUCCUGAAUCGGUACCAAAACAUGCCAGAGGGGCAGUUCAAGAAGGCGGUGAACCAGGAAGACUUCCUCACCCAGCGCCUCAGCAAGCUCCAGGUCAAGGAAAACAAGGUCUGA
rnacentral:rRNA from 1 species